AGCAGUCGCUUAUCAAUUUCUUUUAGAAGAAAGAAAUAAAAAAUAAUUAAGAUGUAAAUAAUGUAAUCAUAUUUUGUAAUAUUACACGUACAUGUGUAUUGUGCCUCUACAACAUUUUUUUAUAAGUCAUAUCCACAAGAUAGAAUUCUUGAAUCUAUAUAUACCAUAUUUUAAUUUGUUUAGAAAGUAUUCUAAACCAUAUGCAAAACAAGUUCAAGCGCCUACAAUAUGGGUUUGUGGCUUAAUAGUGUGGAUAGUCAAGAUCAAGAAAUUUUCUUCAAUCUCAGUCUAUUGGAGUGGACUGGUCAUAAUUUACAAAGAGCUGGUGGUGAUCAGAAUAGUGUACAACUUGGUCGGAUUUCUGGGCUACUGCUUGUCAUGCGAUAUGGGCUGGCGCAAUAGAGGUAUUCAUAAUCUUAAUUUCCAGAGACUGAGUGAACAAGUGUAGGAAGUAGAGAGAUAUUGGCUGAGUUGUGGGGUAUUUUUGAAGGUCUGAAGUAUGCUUGGAGUUUGGGAUUCAGACGUGUGGUAUUACGAGUGGAUUCACAGAUCUUAUAGAGGCUUUGAUACCAACUUAAAAUUGUAUACAUAAUUCCUUCCUCGAUGUAAUCAUUUGAAACGUAAAAAUCAAAUUAUAGUUUUGAGAGCUACUAACUACUGGAUUAUGCUUCAUUUUUGUCAUGUUUACUAUAAUUUAAUUUAUUUUAACAUUAUAAUAGAGUUAUUGUGUGCAUGUUGUUAUCUGUUUGUGCUUUCUUGUUCAUACUAAAUAGCAAAGUCUUUGUAUUAAGGGGUAAUAUUUACCCUUUCCAAUAUCCUUCUCAUAUCAUUUUGAAUGACAAACCCUAACUAAAAACUUGGCAAUGCAAAAUGUCAAUUCGAUCGGAAGGUUAGUAUGUCUAGUUUACACCCAAAAAAAUUAGUUAUUU
rnacentral:lncRNA from 1 species